rnacentral:lncRNA from 1 species
AUCUGAGUUUCUGACCUGUACAUUUUCAUUCUCUCUGAGGAAUGUCUUUCAACAUUUCUUGCAAGUCUUUGGGAACCAGCCUGCACAUAAGAUGCAUGCCUUAGCAUUUGCUCUUCUGCCAAGGACGAAGCAGCCUGUUCCGUGGGGUUUCCUCAUCGUUUUAAUAGAGGGGUGGAUUUUGAAAAUUUCUUCUGACAUUCUGAAGAGCUUCUUCUGUGGUCAUUUUUUUAUGAAGUAAUUAGAAACUGAGAUACUUCUCCAGAAUAAAUUGUUGGCUUUUGGGAUAGUGGAAUGGAAGAAUGGAAGAAUCCAUUACAGCAAGUGAUUCCUGAGGAUGCCAGAACCUCCCUUUUAUGAAGCCUUCUUCUUCUUCCAUCUGACUUUAUCUCUACAAGGAUAGAACAGAUGAGCUAAACUGUACCCAUCAGCGCCCAAGGCCUUGCUCACCUUCUCCAGGCACUAGAACCUGCUGGGCUUGAGAGAGAUUUGGUCCUUGGGUUGAGAAAGAAAAAUGGGAUCAUAUAUGGGAGUGGACUACAUCACUUCUGCCCACAUGCCAAUCACCAGAACUCAAGUCAUAUGGUCACAUCUAAACACAAGAGGAUCUGAGAGAUACUUAGCUAUGUAUCCAAGACGAGGAGGAAAUGAGGGAGCAUGUAUCAUUUUUUGCCAAUUUUCAAUAAGUUUUGUGUAUAAAUGAGUGAAUGAAGGAAUGAAUGAUGCUUUUAAAAUUAUUAGGAAAAGGUGGACAAAUCUAGGAACGUCAUCUCGUCCUUCUAUGAGGGUGAGCAUUUUCUUGGUAUUUUGUUUGAUGGUGUUUUGGAGUUUUUAGUUCACUGAGAUAUUUAAAUCAGACAAAGAAUGGAGAAUGUCCAAAGACAACUAUUUAUUGACAGCAAACACAAAAAAAGUAGGUACUUAUAUUUUGCCUCUUUUCUCCUGCCUAUAAUGUAAAGAAUGCAAAAUAAAAGUGAUAGGACUUUUUCCUAUCUUUAUACACAAAUUUGGGCUUGGAUUAUAUUAUCCUGUUGUAUAGAAUUACUUGUAACCAGAACAAAAGAGCUGAAUUGUAGCCACAGGCUGA